CCUCAGCUGUCAGUUUUAAUAACCAUCAAUUAAACAAAACUGUGAUCUAUGUUUUACACUAUAAAUAAAAGUAUGACUACUCCAAAAGGAAUAGAGAAGAGCAAGUAAGAAGCUAAGGGAUGAGAUUGAUUGUCAUUUUCUUCUUAGUAUCUCUUCAACCUCGCCUCUUUUUAAUUGCCUCUAAUUCCUCCCAUUUAGACUAUAAAAGAACACUACUUUAAAACGAAAGGGGAGUUACAAUGGGCCAUAGCCAGCCAGAGAACCUACAACCUACACACAAAAGCAAAAGACUACACAAGAAGCCAAUGCUUACAAUCAUAAUCUAAUCCAGCGGCAACGAUGAAAACAACACUACGAGCAACAUGCUGGGUAGAAAGGCCUUGAUCGCCUUUACAACCAAGUUUGAUACAACAUCUCAGUCCAAAGACUAUUAGACACAUCGAUAAUAGCAAAAAUAGAAGCCUCUACAUCGAUCCUGGGAACACCAGCAAUGUAAAUAACGCUCUUGCUAUUAUUAAUGUGAAGCCCUGACACCUUAGCAAAAUCUCCAAUCACCUGCUUAAACUUAAGUAAGGAUUGAGUCUCAGGCUUGGUGAACACUAGCAAAUCAUCAGCAAAUAUUUUUUUUGGGAUAUAUUUAGUAAUAUUUAAUUUAAAUGUCAUAUUUUAAAUUUCUAAUGGUAUAUAUAUAGUGAAUUUAGUAAUAUUUAUUAGACCCGUUGGCAUCAUAAAAAAUAAUACUAAAAAUUUUUGUGACAUAAAAUUUAGUGAUAUUUCUCAUAAAUGUCACUAUGGUCGAUAGUAAUGAUUAGAUAUGUCACUAAAUACCAAAUAAAUUGUCACUAAAUCACUUUAUAAUAAAACUUAAAUUAAUAACCAACAAUUACUAAACUAAAAAUAUAAAUCAGUGACAUUUUUCAAAUGUUACUAAAUCCUAUAUCGCAAAAAAUAAAUUUUAUUAUGGUGACAAAACGAAUGGAUCGAACAGAAUAUAGUGUAUACAUGCAUAUUCAAAAUAAGGCAUAAAAGUAGUAGUGCAAUAUUUAGAAUUAAUAUAAUUAAUUAAUCAUCAAUUAAUUGGUACGUCUUAACAAAUAUAUUGUUCUUUUU